GGUGGCUUAGUGGUAAAGCACUUGCCUUGCAUGCAUGAGGCCCUGGGUUCGAUUCCUCAGCACCA
rnacentral:tRNA from 1 species